GCCAGGAGCUGGCCUUCAGGACUCUAGCAGUAAGAAGAAUGUUAUCUAUUCUGUACCUGCAUUGUCUGGCAUGUGACCACCAGAUACAAGUGUCUCCAGAGCACUUAAAAUGUGGUUAAUGCAACAGGGAAGCUGAGUUGUCCAUUUGAUUUAAUUUCAAUUUAUGUUGCUGCAUGCAGUCAGUGCUACUGUUGUGUUGGAUAGUUCAGGGAAGGAAUAAGCAAGCCAUACUCUAGAACUCUAUUCUACCUUCGGCUCCAAAGUCCUACAACAGAAGCCUGGGGACUCUGAGGCUGAUGUCACAAAGCAUAAUCCCCAGGGCAGAAAGGAUUGGGAAAUUCCUCUUGGAGUUGGGUGCCUAGGAGAGGAGCAUUCAAGGAGGGAAAUAAUGCUUCAGUUCCAAUUCCUAGAAGUUGAACAUUUAUCUCCUGAAGAGGCCAAUCCGGAUGCCAAGAUUUUGGUGAAAUUAUUCUUACAUCCAUGCCUAUGUUCAAUAAACCUUCAAUUCAAUGCCACUUAA